GAUGAACGCUGGCGGCGUGCCUAAUACAUGCAAGUCGAGCGAACAGACGAGGAGCUUGCUCCUCUGACGUUAGCGGCGGACGGGUGAGUAACACGUGGAUAACCUACCUAUAAGACUGGGAUAACUUCGGGAAACCGGAGCUAAUACCGGAUAAUAUAUUGAACCGCAUGGUUCAAUAGUGAAAGACGGUUUUGCUGUCACUUAUAGAUGGAUCCGCGCCGCAUUAGCUAGUUGGUAAGGUAACGGCUUACCAAGGCAACGAUGCGUAGCCGACCUGAGAGGGUGAUCGGCCACACUGGAACUGAGACACGGUACAGACUCCUACGGGAGGCAGCAGUAGGGAAUCUUCCGCAAUGGGCGAAAGCCUGACGGAGCAACGCCGCGUGAGUGAUGAAGGUCUUCGGAUCGUAAAACUCUGUUAUUAGGGAAGAACAAAUGUGUAAGUAACUAUGCACGUCUUGACGGUACCUAAUCAGAAAGCCACGGCUAACUACGUG
rnacentral:rRNA from 1 species